rnacentral:misc_RNA from 1 species
GAAAUGCGAUAAGUAAUGCGAAUUGCAGAAUUCAGUGAAUCAUCGAAUCUUUGAACGCACAUUGCGCCCCCCAGUACUCUGGGAGGCACGCCUGUCUGAGCGUCAUUUCAACCCUCGCGCCCCGGCCUCUGUGGCCCGGCGCGGUGUUGGGGAUCGGCCGCCCGCCAGCGGGAGGCCGGCCCCUAAAUCCAGUGGCGACCACGCCGUAGCCUCCUCCGCGACCUCCCCUGUGCAGUAGCGAUACCUCGCAGCGGGACAGCGGUCUGACCACGCCGUAAAACCCCCAACUUCUCAAGGUUGACCUCGAAUCAGGUAGGAAUACCCGCUGAACUUAAGC